UCUCCGUUGGUGAACCAGCGGAGGGAUCAUUACAGGAUUCGCAAGAACUCCCGUAACCACUGUGAACCUUACCUUCUGUUGCCUCGGCGGGCGCUGGUCUCGACCAGCGCUCACGCCCGCCGGCGGCCCCACCAAACUCUUGUUUUUAGUGUCUCUUCUGAGUUAAACAAACAAAUGAAUCAAAACUUUCAACAACGGAUCUCUUGGUUCUGGCAUCGAUGAAGAACGCAGC
rnacentral:misc_RNA from 1 species